rnacentral:rRNA from 1 species
GAUGAACGCUGGCGGCGUGCCUAUACAUGCAAGUCGAGCGAACAGACGAGGAGCUUGCUCCUUUGACGUUAGCGGCGGACGGGUGAGUAACACGUAGGUAACCUACCUAUAAGACUGGGAUAACUUCGGGAAACCGGAGCUAAUACCGGAUAAUAUUUCGAACCGCAUGGUUCGAUAGUGAAAGAUGGCUUUGCUAUCACUUAUAGAUGGACCUGCGCCGUAUUAGCUAGUUGGUAAGGUAACGGCUUACCAAGGCAACGAUACGUAGCCGACCUGAGAGGGUGAUCGGCCACACUGGAACUGAGACACGGUCCAGACUCCUACGGGAGGCAGCAGUAGGGAAUCUUCCGCAAUGGGCGAAAGCCUGACGGAGCAACGCCGCGUGAGUGAUGAAGGUCUUCGGAUCGUAAAAACUCUGUUAUUAGGGAAGAACAAACGUGUAAGUAACUGUGCACGUCUUGACGGUACCUAAUCAGAAAAGCCACGGCUAACUACGUGCCAGCCGCCGCGGUAA